rnacentral:rRNA from 1 species
UGCCAGCAGCCGCGGUAAUACGGAGGGCGCAAGCGUUGUUCGGAAUCAUUGGGCGUAAAGCGCGUGUAGGUGGCUUGGCAAGUUGGGUGUGAAAGCCCGGGGCCCAACCCCGGAAUUGCACUCAAAACUGCCUGGCUAGAGUCCCGGAGGGGAAGGCGGAAUUCCCGGUGUAGAGGUGAAAUUCGUAGAUAUCGGGAGGAACACCAGUGGCGAAGGCGGCCUUCUGGACGGUGACUGACACUGAGACGCGAAAGCGUGGGGAGCAAACAGGAUUAGAUAC